rnacentral:tRNA from 1 species
UGGCUCAGUCGGUUGAGCGUCUGACUUCGGCUUAGAUCAUGAUCUCAUGGUUUGUGGGUUUGAGCCCCAC